CCUACGGGGGGCAGCAGUGGGGAAUAUUGCACAAUGGGGGAAACCCUGAUGCAGCGACGCCGCGUGAGUGAAGAAGUAUUUCGGUAUGUAAAGCUCUAUCAGCAGGGAAGAAGAAAGACGGUACCUGACUAAGAAGCCCCGGAUAACUACGUGCCAGCAGCCGCGGGAAUACGUAGGGGGCAAGCGUUAUCCGGAUUUACUGGGGGUAAAGGGAGCGUAGACGGCUGUGCAAGUCUGAAGUGAAAGCCAAGGGCUCAACCCUGGGACUGCUUUGGAAACUGUGGAGCUAGAGUGCUGGAGGGGUAAGUGGAAUUCCGAGGGUAGCGGUGAAAUGCGUAGAUAUUAGGAGGAAAACCAGUGGCGAGGGCGGCUUACUGGACAGUAACUGACGUUGAGGCUCGAAAGCGUGGGGAGCAAACAGGAUUAGAUACCCGGUAGUC
rnacentral:rRNA from 1 species